ACUCCUACGGGAGGCAGCAGUGGGGAAUAUUGCACAAUGGGCGCAAGCCUGAUGCAGCCAUGCCGCGUGUAUGAAGAAGGCCUUCGGUUGUAAAGUACUUUCAGCAGUGAGGAAGGUGGGUAUGUUAAUAGCGGCGUUGUUUGACGUUAGCGACAGAAGAAGCACCGGCUAACUCCGUGCCAGCAGCCGCGGUAAUACGGAGGGGUGCGAGCGUUAAUCGGAAUUACUGGGGCGUAAAGCGCAUGCAGGUGGUUUGUUAAGUCAGAUGUGAAAGCCCGGGGGCUCAACCUCGGAAUUGCAUUUGAAACUGGCAGACUAGAGUACUGUAGAGGGGGUAGAAUUUCAGGUGUAGCGGUGAAAUGCGUAGAGAUCUGAAGGAAUACCGGUGGCGAAGGCGGCCCCCUGGACAGAUACUGACACUCAGAUGCGAAAGCGUGGGGAGCAAACAGGAUUAGAUACCCUGGUAGGACAGUG
rnacentral:rRNA from 1 species